rnacentral:rRNA from 1 species
AGUAACACGUGGAUAACCUACAUAUAAGACUGGGAUAACUUCGGGAAACCGGAGCUAAUACCGGAUAAUAUUUUGAACCGCAUGGUUCAAAAGUGAGAGACGGUCUUGCUGUCACUUAUAGAUGGAUCCGCGCUGCAUUAGCUAGUUGGUAAGGUAACGGCUUACCAAGGCAACGAUGCAUAGCCGACCUGAGAGGGUGAUCGGCCACACUGGAACUGAGACACGGUCCAG